ACAGUUGUGGGAAAAUCUUCGCCCACUGGACCAAAGGAUGUCAAGAGCUCAUUGCUGGAAAGCAUACUCCAGUCUUCAGUCUAAAGAGGAAGGCAGAGCAGCAGGACAUAGAGGUUAGAAAAUUGCCUUGUAAAAACAGUAUUAUCUCAGUGGGAGUCCUUCAAAAUGCACACAGUUGUAUGGAUCAACAUUGUCUCGAUGUAUUUGGUAAUUGAUGUUACUUUUCAAAUUGCCUUGUCAAGGAAACCAUGACGCAGACGGUAUCGGAUGUCCAAAGAAUGUGCAUGGCAGAUUCAAUGCAAUUCUGUGUUUACCAGACAUCGAACAACACAGGAGAGAGGUGUGUUGCAGACUCAAUUUAAUAAAUGCAAUUAUCGGGGCCUAUUCAGUGAUUUUCCAUGAAGUGACCACUUUUACAUAUAGUUUAAAUGCACGAAUCAUGCAGGAAAAUUAUUUAUACAUUCAAAUGUGCUGCAGAGGUAUAAUCAAUUGGACAGCGUGUUUGUUUAAUAUUAUGUUUGUCUCUCAUUUGAUCAGAUUGCUUUACCCUGAGGUAAACGUCAUAAAAUGGGUCCAGUGCAAGACGUGCAGGGGCUGGCUGCAUCAGGAUUGUGCUGGGAUUGAAAUGGAGCCGUUUGACUGCGGGUGCGAGGACUCCAUUGAGCAUCCUCGGUAUAACAUAAUUUAUCAAGGAAACAUAGUAUCAGUCAAAAAUACGAGGCUCAAAGGAUGAAAAAAUGAGGGCUUGCUCUUUUUCUUAUUUCUCUGCAGGAUCAAGGAUGCUGUUGACAGUUGAGGAAUUCAUGCUGUCUUUUCUAAGACACAGAUCAAGGUUGCUUUUGAAUGCACUAUCAGUUGUUAAAGCCACCGUUUCUUUUUCAGAUGAUUACAUUUUUGUCUCUUGCUCUUUGGUUUCAGACAUUACACGAUGAUCUACUGUCUGGAAAGAUCCGCUCCAACAGAAUGUUCCUUUGGAGGAAUCCCGCCACCUCACUCCGACUAAAGCAGCAUCUUAAGAUAAGGACAUUAAGUUGGAGUGAGCAGCGCGCAAGUAAAAAUUCCAUCCAUCAUGAGUAUUUUUACUCUCAGGGGUGUUACAUUUGAAAGGUGUUUACUUUCUGUGUUUUUCUUCAAUAGAUGUUCGAGCUCCUGCGGUUCAUUGAGGUGGCAACAAACAUUUCUAAAAAAAUAAAGAGAGGCGAGAUUCAUCUGCUUGAUUUCGUUUUUGACGUCAUGCUCCCAGAGGUGAGUAGAUCAAACUAUAUAGCUUGCUUUGAAAAUUGAUG
rnacentral:lncRNA from 1 species